rnacentral:rRNA from 1 species
UGAGUGGCGGACGGGUGAGUAACGCGUGGGUAACCUGCCCUGUACAGGGGGAGUAACAGUCAGAAACGGCUGCUAAUACCGCAUAAGCGCACAGUACCGCAUGGUACCGUGUGAAAAACUCCGGUGGUAUAAGAUGGACCCGCGUUGGAUUAGCUAGUUGGCGGGGUAACGGCCUACCAAGGCGACGAUCCAUAGCCGGCCUGAGAGGGUGAACGGCCACAUUGGGACUGAGACACGGCCCAGACUCCUACGGGAGGCAGCAUG